rnacentral:snRNA from 1 species
UGUUUGCAUCAGCAGACCGUACACUAAAAUUAGAAUCAUACAGAGAAGAUUAGCAUGGCCCUGUGGAAGGAUGUCACAUAAACUAUAUGUUAUCUAU